CUUACGUUGGUUUCAGAAAUAAUUUAUAAAUUUUAUUGUGACUUUUAUGAUUAUUACUGUAAAUAGCCCCAACUUAUUUGUUAUAUGCCCCUUUUUGCGCUUAUUGCCUUUUUGUUAGUUGACUUUUGAAUUAAUGCUUUUAUAUUGAUGAGAGAACUACCGCUGUUUAUGUUGUGCAGCGGCUGCUUGGCAACAGAAAGAACGGAAGAUAAGUUGCAAUAGUGUUAUAAAUGUAUCUUAUUAGCGGACCCUUUGAUGAAGGCACAAGGUACGUUUAUUUUGUAAAUAGGAUAUUUCUAAUAUUGAUCAAUUGGGAUUGGGAUUUUUGGUUUAUUGUAAUCAAAUACGAUAUAGUCUUUGAAUCGAUUGAUAUUGAUAGUAGUGAACGUUGUUUUCAGUUUUCAAACAUUAUGGUUCUAAGAGCGUGUUUUGUGUCUUAUCUUUUUGUGUUUGUGUUUGUGCUACAGCUCUUACGGUGAAACUAAGGGUUCACUCCCAUUAAACCUGUUCAUCAGUAAAGCCAAAUCCUUCAUUUGAAGGGGCGUCUGCUGUAGUAAGAGCUUAGACCUCCAGGAGUAAGAGCUUUACUUCCGGGAGAAGAGUUUCGCCUUCGGCAUUAGGAGCGAGCUCAAGAAACGGCACGGAGCAACGAGCUGCAGCAACGGCUCUGGCUCCACCAGAUCACCAACCAGUUCUGAGGAUGAAGCUCCACAUCGUCUUCAUGGUGGAAGGAUUUUUGUUUUUUUUCUACUGAGCAGCUGGUUACAUUUUUAACAGCAAAACUGGGCCCUGUGAUGGACUGGUGACCUGUCCAAGGUGAACCCCGCCUCUCAUCUGAUGACUGCUGGAGACGGGCACCACCAGCCCCCCUCAUCGUGGCUGAGGGUCCUCAGGUUGAGGGUCCUGAGGGAUCAGUGUGCAGGACCAGCCACACUGAUCCUGCAAGGAUCAGCGUGUUCAGAUCAUGGAUGAGAAGCUUUUAAGGCAAAGAAGACACCCAGAAAUGAUUUUUCACCCCAGGCAGCAGGUCUCAAUCAUCAUCAGUUCUGAUGAUGUCACAUACAUAAGCGAAUCCACAACGUCUUAAAAUUGUUUCUGUAAAGCGCAGUGGUCCAGUGAAUAGGAAUCUUCUGUCGUUGAUCCUCACUGUUCUUAGGACGGAGAAAUGUCAGUUUGUCUGGAGUAAUACUGGAAUACUGUGACAUUGUAUUAAAAUAAUACUCUAUCCUUGGUGAAAUAUAUUUCACAUUUCCUCUAAAGUGUAUCUAUUGUUUUAUUGUGCUAAUUUUCAUAAGCAUGUUGUCUGUAAACUUUAAAUGUAUUGACAAUUUGUACAAUUCUGUGAUAGCAUAUUGGCAAUGUAUUCUUGAAAAAUGUGUGGAAGACUUUAUUUGACAGGGUGUGCAUAAGACUGACAUGAUACUGUCAUAAACAUAACACCUGUUAGGAACAUACUAAUAGGUGUUAUGAAGUGUUAUUCGGUAAAUAAUGACACUUCUAAUGAGAAGUUGCCUUAAAAGUUGGAUGACAGUGUUAUGUCAGACCUAUGCACACCUCAUCAAACAAAGUGUUACCAAAAUGGUAAUAUAUUGAAAGCACAAUGUAAUUAGUUUCACCUGUAAAGUGUGUUGUAAUUGAUCCUGAUGUGUUUGCAGUGCUGCAGUGUGUAUGAAGCAUGUAAUGUACAAAGUGGCAAAGCAGAAUAAUAAAAUACAUUAAGUAACUAAAAA